GGUGUGGGAGGGGGUGAAAAAGUUCAACAUUUCCCAACUUUAUGACCACUGGGCAAUGACCAAUCAUAUCGAGUGGUUCCCAUGACGAAUUUGACACUAUGCGAACCAUCGCUGGAGACUUUCUUCAAUAUCAGCACUGAUCUGAGGACACAUGAUAGUGUAGUCUGUUGUUCCCAGGGAACAGCACCCUCUUUGAAAAAGUAGGAAGUGAAGAUCUCCCGCACCCAGAUUGCCUCCUGUGUUGCAUUGUUGGGCCCCAUCCUGACAACAUCCUGCAGAGCAGCAGACCUCUCCUCUAGCACACGUCUGCAAAGCUGUAGAUGCCAUCCUGGUCCUCGUGUCCAUCCUCAAGAAGUUAUGCAGGACACAGGUGGACUUCACACACACCUGAAUUCCCGCAGGAGGCAGUCCCAGAUGGCCCUGGUCACCCAACCGUGCAGUGCCCUACACGGUAACUGUAGGCAUUCGUUUUGAAGGGAUCUCCAGUUGCAAGGCCAGAUCUCAAAGUGACACAGGAGUGAGGAGGUCCUCACCUGUCAAAACAGGAAAUUCAAAUACAGCUAACCACUGCAAACUUUCAAAUAGGGGAGUUCAAAAGAGAAAAUGCAGCAUUCAGACAAUCUCUCUCCGUGAUUGAAGAGUUGCCACGUUUGCUCCAGGAGGUGAAAAACCUAGAGAGGGAGAGAAUGAGACACACAAUUUCAAAGGACAUCAUGGUUAGUGGAUCCCCAGCCAUCUCCAAAACUCACAAUGACAUCAUGGCUGGACCCUCCAACCCACAAAAGCAGCACUCCAAGACAUAGUCGUCACAACCCUACCAGACAGCAUGAGGUGAUGGCCGUCUCUUCGUUGACAGGCAUUUGCACCUUUUUAAUUAGGCGAAACCAGAUGGAGAAGGAUGUCUUAAAAAUAAUUGAAUCGAAGCUUGAAUCGAAAUUGCUUAAGUCCAAGAUUUAGGUUUAAAACUGCUUUUUUUUUUACUCAAAGGGAGUAACUUGGAGGCUAAG
rnacentral:lncRNA from 1 species